UACGUAGGUGGCAAGCGUUGUCCGGAAUCAUUGGGCGUAAAGAGCGUGUAGGCGGCCCGGUAAGUCCGCUGUGAAAGUCGGGGGCUCAACCCUCGAAUGCCGGUGGAUACUGUCGGGCUAGAGUGCGGAAGAGGCGAGUGGAAUUCCUGGUGUAGCGGUGAAAUGCGCAGAUAUCAGGAGGAACACCGAUGGCGAAGGCAGCUCGCUGGGACGGUACUGACGCUGAGGCGCGAAAGCGUGGGGAGCGAACAGG
rnacentral:rRNA from 1 species